CAGUCGCCGCGGUAAUACGAAGGGGGCUAGCGUUGUUCGGAUUUACUGGGCGUAAAGCGCACGUAGGCGGACUUUUAAGUCAGGGGUGAAAUCCCGGGGCUCAACCCCGGAACUGCCUUUGAUACUGGGAGUCUUGAGUUCGAGAGAGGUGAGUGGAAUUGCGAGUGUAGAGGUGAAAUUCGUAGAUAUUCGCAGGAACACCAGCGGCGAAGGCGGCUCACUGGCUCGAUACUGACGCUGGGGUGCGAGAGCGUGGGGAGCAAACAGGAUUAGAUACCCCCGUAGUCCCUGUCUCUUAUAC
rnacentral:rRNA from 1 species